rnacentral:rRNA from 1 species
UACGUAGGGUGCGAGCGUUAAUCGGAAUUACUGGGCGUAAAGCGUGCGCAGGCGGCUAUUUAAGCUUGCUGUGAAAGCCCCGGGCUUAACCUGGGAACUGCAGUGAGGACUGGAUGGCUGGAGUGUGGCAGAGGGGGGUGGAAUUCCACGUGUAGCAGUGAAAUGCGUAGAGAUGUGGAGGAAUACCGAUGGCGAAGGCAACCCCCUGGGAUAAGACUGACGCUCAGGCACGAAAGCGUGGGGAGCAAACAGG